UGCACUCACUACUGUAAGUCGCUCUGGAUAAGAGCAUCUUUUAAAUGACUAAAA
rfam:Salmo salar isolate Sally breed double haploid chromosome ssa03, whole genome shotgun sequence.